rnacentral:rRNA from 1 species
GACGAACGCUGGCGGCGUGCCUAAUACAUGCAAGUUGAGCGCUGAAGGUUGGUACUUGUACCAACUGGAUGAGCAGCGAACGGGUGAGUAACGCGUGGGGAAUCUGCCUUUGAGUGGGGGACAACAUUUGGAAACGAAUGCUAAUACCGCAUAAAAACUUUAAACACAAGUUUUAAGUUUGAAAGAUGCAAUUGCAUCACUCAAAGAUGAUCCCGCGUUGUAUUAGCUAGUUGGUGAGGUAAAGGCUCACCAAGGCGAUGAUACAUAGCCGACCUGAGAGGGUGAUCGGCCACAUUGGGACUGAGACACGGCCCAAACUCCUACGGGAGGCAGCAGUAGGGAAUCUUCGGCAAUGGACGAAAGUCUGACCGAGCAACGCCGCGUGAGUGAAGAAGGUUUUCGGAUCGUAAAACUCGGUUGGUAGAGAAGAACGUUGGUGAGAGUGGAAAGCUCAUCAAGUGACGGUAACUACCCAGAAAGGGACGGCUAACUACGUG